rnacentral:tRNA from 1 species
GGCAAGGUAGUAUACGUGUAGUACGUUGGGUUCAUGCCCCGUUAGUGGGAAGAAAUUUUCUCCCCCUUGCUU